GGGGGGGGGGAGGGGAGGAGUGAGGUGUGUGUUUGUGUGCUAGCCUGCAUGCGUGCGUGGCUUUGUCUGUGUGUGUUUUUGCGUUCGCGUUCUCCUACGGGAUCACCUUGCGAAAAACACCAUGGGGAGGAGAAGGUGUGUGUGUGUGUUUUCUCUUCUUUGUCGAUUCGCACUCUCCCGUGGGUCUCCUUGUGUGCGUUAGUUUUUUUGUUUUUCAAGAAGAAAAAAAAAUACUUCGAAAAAUACCAGUGGGGAGGGUGUGUUUAUGAAUGAAAAAAUGUGCUUAGAAAAAGAAAGUAGAAAAUAAAAAAAAUAUUGAACAACGGAUUCGUAAGUGUGUUUGAACUCAUUGCUAUCCGAAAAAAGGGAGGGGGGGCUCUUGAAAUGUAGUACACAUGUAUGCAACAUGUAUCGUGUCGCCGCGACGGUGUAUCUCGCUCAAUCCGUUAAGCCUGAAAAGUGCUUCUAUCGGAUCGUCUAAUCGGGCGCCAUUUAAUCAAUCCGUUAGCGAAAAGUCGCAUGGAUUUUGGUACCGGGGUAGGUAAAGAGGUAAAAUAAAGAGCGAAUGUGUGGAAUGGAAAAAUGAGAGAGAGUCUGUGUUUGUUUUGGGAGAGAGGAGAGAAUGAAAGAAAUUGAACAAUAAUGUAGCAUACAGAAACUACAUGUAUGAUACACGCUGUCGCACCGUUGCAGAAACGUGCUCUUUAGUGCUGCUAAUGAGCACGAUUUAAGAACGUUUUGAGCCCGUUUUUUCUCAUACAAAAUUGGAAAUUGUCGCGCGAUAAUGUCGGUUGGGGUCCCAACCAACAUUGUCACGUUGCAAGCGGUUUUUUUUGUAUAGAAAAAGUGUUCUCUAUAGCGCGGUCAAAUCGUUCUCGAUAGCAGAACUAUACCCAACCGGCAUUAUCGCGCGAUUUUUAUGUGUAUCUAUCAUUUUUCUCUUUCUAACAUUCAGAAAAAUUUUCAUUCUGUCUUGCUCUUCUGGGUGUUGGUCACUUUUUGCUCGCAACUUGGCUGUGUCACAUCAACCAUCCUCAUGUUUCAUAUGGCUCUUCUCUUUCCAUCGUUCGAGAGAAACUCUUGUGUCUCGCUUUUCUGGGACUUGUCCAAUUUCGCUUGCUACACCAAGCGUUCACGCAAGCGAUCUUCUCUCGUCCGCUCUUUGUAUCAUUGUACAGGUACUCCCCGAUAUACGCUAUUAAUGCGGACCGGAGGCAUUAGCGUAUCUCGAAUAUUAGCAAAUGUCGAGUUUUCAGUCAAAUUAUAGCUAAGUUUCAUAUAAUUUUGCAUGAAGUGGUAGGUUUUAGCCGCUAAAUUAGUUAUUUGAUAUGAUUUCAACUGAAUAUUACAAUUGUACACAUUUUGAAAUGGUUUUUAAUAUUCGACCAAAAGGGAAUUUAUUUUGAAUUUGAUAUUCGAUGUGUCAAAUUAGUACAAUUUGCUCAAAAAACUUUAAAAUUUAGAAAAAAAGCUUAUAGCGAAAUCGCGUAUAUCGUGUAUGGCGUAUAUCGGGGAAUACCUGUAAAGCCACCAGAGGAAGGCGCUGCUUCGCGUUCAUAUGAAAAAGUGGUAGUGUAAAAUCAAGUUUGUAAGAAGAAGGACGCGUCGAUGCGUGCUCGUUUUUUCUCUCGUGAAACCAGUACGGAAAAAAAACUAUUUGGUAAGUACAGCUUUUAAUAAAGGAUUAUAUCAAUCUGUAUCAAAUUGAAUGGUAUUAAUAAUUGGUGAUAUCAAAUCAAUUUCGUUUUCUAUAGCAAAUCGUAACACACGCACAAACGGAAGUGAGCACGGACCACGAUAGAAAUAAUCAAUUGGUUGCAGUGCCAAAAACAAAAGGACAGGAGAGGUAGGAACGACCAUUCAACGCGUUAGCGCCGGACGAAGGAGAAGCGGCAGGAAGGCAGGAACGAUCCUUCAACGUGCUAGCGCCUGGUAGAGGAGAGGCGGCAGGAAGGUAGGGACGAUCAUCCAGCACGCUAGCGCAGCACCUGGGAACAGCGAGGAGGAGGCAAGCAGGAAGAAUUUUUAACGCGUGCUCACCAUUCGACGAAGCCAACGCUGGAUGAAAGGAAGAACGAGGAGAGAAGGCAGGCAAGACGGGUACGUGUGUGUCCCGCAACGGGUUUUCGGCAGUGUGAAAUGUGAGUAUUGAAAAGUGUAUGUGCGAGUAGAGGUAAAGAGGUAAAAUAAAGAGCGAAUGUGUGGAAUGGGAAAAUGAAAGAGAGUCUGUGUUUGUUUUGGGAGAGAGGAGAGAAUGAAAGAAAUUGAACAAUAAUGUAGCAUACAGAAACCACAUGUAUGAUACACGCUGUCGCACCGUUGCAGAGACGUGCUCUUUAGUGCUGCUAAUGAGCACGAUUUGAGAACGUUUUGAGCCCGUUUUUUCUCAUACAAAAUUUUAAAAUGUCGCGCGAUAAUGUUGGUUGGGUAGAGAAGGUUUUUGAAAUCGUGCGACAGCGUGUAUCAUACAUUUGGUUUAUGUAUGCUACAUCCCUUCUCAAUUUCUUUCAUUCUCUCCAUUCUCCCUACAAAGACUCUUACUCUCUUUUGUCCAUUCUGCACAUGCUUACGCUCUUUAUUUUACCUUCUUACUCGCACAUACAUAUUUACAUACUCACACAAUUCACACUGCCUAAAACCGGUGCGGG